UACGGAGGGUGCAAGCGUUAUUCGGAAUUACUGGGCGUAAAGGGCGCGUAGGCGGUCAGGUAAGUCAGGUGUGAAAGCCCUCGGCUCAACCGAGGAAGUGCACUUGAAACUAUCUGACUAGAGUACGGGAGAGGAAAGUGGAAUUCCCGGUGUAGAGGUGAAAUUCGUAGAUAUCGGGAGGAACACCUAUGGCGAAGGCGGCUUUCUGGACCGAUACUGACGCUGAGGCGCGAAAGCGUGGGGAGCAAACAGGAUUAGAUACCCUGGUAGUCCACGCUGUAAACGAUGGGCACUAGGUGUGGGAGGUAUCAAUACCUUCCGUGCCGCAGCUAACGCAUUAAGUGCCCCGCCUGGGGAGUACGACCGCAAGGUUA
rnacentral:rRNA from 1 species